rnacentral:rRNA from 1 species
GACGAACGCUGGCGGCGUGCUUAACACAUGCAAGUCGAACGGAAAGGCCCUGCGUUUGUGGGGUGCUCGAGUGGCGAACGGGUGAGUAACACGUGAGUAACCUGCCCUUGACUUUGGGAUAACUUCAGGGAAAUGGGGCUAAUACCGGAUAGGAGCUCCUGCUGCAUGUUGGGGGUUGGUAAGUUUCGGCGGUUGGGGAUGGACUCGCGGCGUAUCAGCUUGUUGGUGGGGUAGUGGCUUACCAAGGCUUUGACGGGUAGCCGGCCUGAGAGGGUGACCGGCCACAUUGGGACUGAGAUGCGGCCGAGACUCCGACGGGAGGCAGAAGUGCGGAAUAUUGCACAAUGGGCGGAAGCCGGAUGCAGCAACGCCGCGUGCGGGAUGACGGCCUUAGGGGUGUAAACCGAUUUCGCCUGUGACGAAGCGUGAGUGACGGUAAUGGGUAAAGAAGGACCGGCUAACUACGUG